rnacentral:lncRNA from 1 species
CGGGGCCUCCUCUGGAUCAUCACCGAUUUCAAAAAUAUUAGUAAUUGCCCUUUCAUCUACCACGACGGGCGACGGGUUAUGAGUGGAGUAAAGGUCCAAUUUUGCAAAGCCUCCUAUGGCAUAAUCUGCUUCACCUCGCUGGACGCUGGGAGAUUUUCUGGUACAGCAUUGCAUCCUUCAAACAAAUCUCCUAUCCCAUCC